GACGAACGCUGGCGGUGUGCUUAACACAUGCAAGUCGAGCGGGUAAGGCCCUUUCGGGGGUACACGAGCGGCGAACGGGUGAGUAACACGUGGGUGACCUGCCCUCAGCUCUGGGAUAAGCCUGGGAAACCGGGUCUAAUACUGGAUAUGACUCCAUGACGCAUGUUGUGGGGUGGAAAGCCUUGUGCGGCUGAGGAUGGGCCCGCGGCCUAUCAGCUUGUUGGUGGGGUGANGGCCUACCAAGGCGACGACGGGUAGCCGGCCUGAGAGGGCGACCGGCCACACUGGGACUGAGACACGGCCCAGACUCCUACGGGAGGCAGCAGUGGGGAAUCUUGCGCAAUGGGCGAAAGCCUGACGCAGCGACGCCGCGUGAGGGAUGACGGCCU
rnacentral:rRNA from 1 species